rnacentral:rRNA from 1 species
AUUGAACGCUGGCGGCAUGCCUUACACAUGCAAGUCGAACGGCAGCACGGGAGCUUGCUCCUGGUGGCGAGUGGCGAACGGGUGAGUAAUACAUCGGAACGUACCCGGAAGUGGGGGAUAACGUAGCGAAAGUUACGCUAAUACCGCAUAUUCUGUGAGCAGGAAAGCAGGGGAUCUUCGGACCUUGUGCUUUCGGAGCGGCCGAUGUCGGAUUAGCUAGUUGGCGGGUAAAGCCCACCAAGGCAACGAUCCGUAGCGGGUCUGAGAGGAUGAUCCGCCACACUGGAACUGAGACACGGUCCAGACACCUACGGGUGGCUG